UACGGAGGGUGCGAGCGUUGUCCGGAAUCACUGGGCGUAAAGGGCGCGUAGGCGGCAGGCCAAGCGUGCGGUGAAAGUCCGGGGCUCAACCCCGGAUCUGCCGUGCGGACUGGUUUGCUAGAGCACUGUAGAGGCGAGUGGAAUUCCGGGUGUAGCGGUGGAAUGCGUAGAGAUCCGGAAGAACACCGGUGGCGAAGGCGGCUCGCUGGGCAGUGGCUGACGCUGAGGCGCGAAAGCCAGGGGAGCAAAGCGGGG
rnacentral:rRNA from 1 species